rnacentral:rRNA from 1 species
AUUCACCAUGGCAACGGGAACAAACACCUGAGUUUCGUCUGAUCUCGGAAGCUAAGCAGGGUCGGGCCUGGUUAGUACUUGGAUGGGAGACCGCCUGGGAAUACCAGGUGCUGUAAGUU